GUUAAGGUGGAGGAGGUUCUGCUCACGGUCGGUGAACAGGACUGCUCCUCAAAACCUAAUGUCUACCUGGCCCACCACUCCACCCUGGAAUUGAACAGCCUUUAUGACUAGGUCAACCUAUAUACAUUCACAACUUUUGCCAGGACCCUGAAGGACCCUUACCCUCAGCCCCAGCACAUCACACAGGAGCAACAGAGCAACGGACACCCCACCCAGACUAGCAAGACACCCUCCCGAAGGACUUGAACCGAGACAACCCAAGUGAAGAGGACCUACACCCAGACCACAGCAUCACCAGCCACAUCCUCAACCCCACCCAAAAUAGCCGAGGCCUCCCCCCAAAAAACAUGGCCACACCCUAUAUAGGCACCCUGAGAUCAGACCUCAACAGAGAAAAAUGUUCUCAUCUGUGCUACCUACAGUAAAUCCCCUAAUAGAAUCUCCAUACUUUAACAAUGACAUCUUCUCUAUCCAAGAGGGGAGAUCAACCAUUUCCAGGCCCAGAGAGAUGUACUAGUCUGGACAAGAACCUGACACUCUUAGCACACGGGGACAAACACCUACCUGGAAGUGACAGCAUUCCCUCCCAAAUAUGCCCUAGGCACAACUGCAGUAUGACAAAACAACCAACAAAACAGGUCACAACUCCUGCAGCACUGUCUCACGCAGGGACCUGAGCCCUAGGACCAUGCCUCAGGACUACCUGACAUGAUGACUCCUUGCUGUCCCCAGUCCACCUGGCCAUGCUGCUGCUCCAGUUUCAACUGUUCUGCCUGUGAUUAUUAUUAUCUGACCAUGCUGGUCAUUUAUGAACAUUUGAACAUCUUGGCCAUGUUCUGUUAUAAUCUCCACCCGGCACAGCCAGAAGAGGACUGGCCACCCCACAUACCCUGGUUCCUCUCUAGGUUUCUUCCUAGGUUUUGGCCUUACUAGGGAGUUUUUCCUAGCCACCAUGCUUCUGCACCUGCAUUGCUUGCUGUUUGGGGUUUUAGGCUGGGUUUCUGUACAGCACUUUGAGAUAUCAGCUGAUGUACAAAGGGC
ensembl:lncRNA